rnacentral:rRNA from 1 species
UACGGAGGGUGCGAGCGUUAAUCGGAAUUACUGGGCGUAAAGCGCAUGCAGGUGGUUUGUUAAGUCAGAUGUGAAAGCCCGGGGCUCAACCUCGGAAUAGCAUUUGAAACUGGCAGACUAGAGUACUGUAGAGGGGGUAGAAUUUCAGGUGUAGCGGUGAAAUGCGUAGAGAUCUGAAGGAAUACCGGUGGCGAAGGCGGCCCCCUGGACAGAUACUGACACUCAGAUGCGAAAGCGUGGGGAGCAAACAGG